rnacentral:rRNA from 1 species
ACGGAAGGCAGCAGUGAGGAAUAUUGGUCAAUGGGCGGAAGCCUGAACCAGCCAAGUCGCGUGAAGGAAGACGGUAUUAUGUAUUGUAAACUUCUUUAGACGCAGAGAAAUAAGGGGCUCGCGAGCUCUGAUGCUGGUAUGCGUAGAAUAAGGAUCGGCUAACUCCGUGCCAGCAGCCGCGGUAAUACGGAGGAUCCGAGCGUUAUCCGGAUUUAUUGGGUUUAAAGGGUGCGCAGGCGGCGCUUUAAGUCAGUGGUCAAAUCGUGAGGCUCAACCUCAUCCCGCCAUUGAUACUGGAGCGCUUGAUUGCGGUUGAGGUAGGCGGAAUUCGUCGUGUAGCGGUGAAAUGCAUAGAUAUGACGAAGAACCCCGAUUGCGUAGGCAGCUUACCAAGCCGUAAAUGACGCUCAUGCACGAAAGUGCGGGGAUCGAACAGGAUUAGAUACCCUGGUA